rnacentral:rRNA from 1 species
CGAACGGGUGAGUAACACGUAGGAAUUUGCCUCAGAGUGGAAGAUACCCAGCCGAAAGGUUGGCUAAUACUCCAUAGUCCCGCAGGGGUAAAGCAGCAAUGCGCUUUGAGAGAAGCCUGCGUCCUAUCAGCUAGUUGGUGAGGUAAUGGCUUACCAAGGCUAUGACGGGUAGGGGGUGUGAGAGCAUGACCCCCCACAAUGGGACUGAGACACGGCCCAU